UACAGAGGUCUCAAGCGUUGUUCGGAUUCAUUGGGCGUAAAGGGUGCGUAGGCGGUGAGGUAAGUUGGAUGUGAAAUCCCGGGGCUUAACCCCGGAACUGCAUUCAAUACUGCCUUGCUAGAGUACUGGAGAGGAGAUUGGAAUUCACGGUGUAGCAGUGAAAUGCGUAGAUAUCGUGAGGAAGACCAGUGGCGAAGGCGACUUCCUGGCCUGUUCUUGACGCUGAGGCGCGAAAGCUAGGGGGGCAAACGGG
rnacentral:rRNA from 1 species